rnacentral:rRNA from 1 species
CCUACGGGAGGCAGCAGUGAGGAAUAUUGGUCAAUGGACGAGAGUCUGAACCAGCCACGUCGCGUGAAUGAUGACUGCCCUAUGGGUUGUAAACUUCUUUUAUAUGGGAAUAAAAUGUUCCACGUGUGGGAUUUUGUAUGUACCAUAUGAAUAAGGAUCGGCUAACUCCGUGCCAGCAGCCGCGGUAAUACGGCGGAUCCGAGCGUUAUCCGGAUUUAUUGGGUUUAAAGGGAGCGUAGGUGGAUUGUUAAGUCAGUUGUGAAAGUUUGCGGCUCAACCGUAAAAUUGCAGUUGAAACUGGCAGUCUUGAGUACAGUAGAGGUGGGCGGAAUUCGUGGUGUAGCGGUGAAAGGCUUAGAUAUCACGAAGAACUCCGAUUGCGAAGGCAGCUCACUGGACUGCAACUGACACUGAGGCUCGAAAGUGUGGGUAUCAAACAGGAUUAGAUACCCUUGUAGUC